GCAGCAGUGAGGAAUAUUGGUCAAUGGACGAGAGUCUGAACCAGCCAAGUAGCGUGAAGGAUGACUGCCCUAUGGGUUGUAAACUUCUUUUAUAUGGGAAUAAAGUAUUCCACGUGUGGAAUUUUGUAUGUACCAUAUGAAUAAGGAUCGGCUAACUCCGUGCCAGCAGCCGCGGUAAUACGGAGGAUCCGAGCGUUAUCCGGAUUUAUUGGGUUUAAAGGGAGCGUAGGUGGAUUGUUAAGUCAGUUGUGAAAGUUUGCGGCUCAACCGUAAAAUUGCAGUUGAAACUGGCAGUCUUGAGUACAGUAGAGGUGGGCGGAAUUCGUGGUGUAGCGGUGAAAUGCUUAGAUAUCACGAAGAACUCCGAUUGCGAAGGCAGCUCACUAGACUGCAACUGACACUGAUGCUCGAAAGUGUGGGUAUCAAACAGGAUUAGAUACCCUGGUAGUCCACACAGUAAACGAUGAAUACUCGCUGUUUGCGAUAUACAGUAAGCGGCCAAGCGAAAGCAUUAAGUAUUCCACCUGGGGAGUACGCCGGCAACGGUGAAACUCAAAGGAAUUGACGGGGGCCCGCACAAGCGGAGGAACAUGUGGUUUAAUUCGAUGAUACGCGAGGAACCUUACCCGGGCUUAAAUUGCAUUUGAAUAAUCUGGAAACAGGUUAGCCGCAAGGCAAAUGUGAAGGUGCUGCAUGGUUGUCGUCAGCUCGUGCCGUGAGGUGUCGGCUUAAGUGCCAUAACGAGCGCAACCCUUAUCUUUAGUUACUAACAGGUUAUGCUGAGGACUCUAGAGAGACUGCCGUCGUAAGAUGUGAGGAAGGUGGGGAUGACGUCAAAUCAGCACGGCCCUUACGUCCGGGGCUACACACGUGUUACAAUGGGGGGUACAGAAGGCAGCUACCUGGCGACAGGAUGCUAAUCCCAAAAACCUCUCUCAGUUCGGAUCGAAGUCUGCAACCCGACUUCGUGAAGCUGGAUUCGCUAGUAAUCGCGCAUCAGCCAUGGCGCGGUGAAUACGUUCCCGGGCCUUGUACACACCGCCCGUCAAGCCAUGAAAGCCGGGGGUACCUGAAGUACGUAACCGCAAGGAGCGUCCUAGGGUAAAACUGGUAAUUGGGGCUAAGUCGUAACAAGGUAGCCGUACCGGAAGGUGCGGCUGGAACACCUCCUUUCUGGAGC
rnacentral:rRNA from 1 species